AGUGAACGCUGGCGGCGUGCCUAAUACAAGCAAGUCGAAGGAAGUGGCGCACGGGUGAGUAAUAUAUAGCUAAUCUGCCCCUUGCUGGAGGAUAACAGAUAGAAAUUACUGCUAAUACUCCAUAGGAAGGGAUGAGACUAUAUCUCAUCAGGUGGUCGGUGUGGUAACGGCCUACCGAGUCUAUGACGCGUAACCUGUCUGAGAGGAUGAUCAGUCAGAUUGGAAAUGAGACACGGUCCAAACUCCUACGGGAGGAAGGAGGAAUGAAUAUUGCGCAGUGGGGGAAGGACGGAGGAAGGAACGCUGCGUGGAGGAUGACACUGUUCGGAGAGUAGCCUCCUUUUGUUAGGGAGGCGGUACCUAACGAAUAAGCACCGGCUAACUCCGUGCCAGCCGCCGCGGUAAUUC
rnacentral:rRNA from 1 species